rnacentral:rRNA from 1 species
CCAAUCACAGAGCACCUGCGGGCGCUCACCUCCCCCGCUCGCGGGGUGGGGUGGGGCGGUCCGCCGUUUACAGGAGCCGCCGGUGCAGGAGCCCUCGCGGGCCCCGGCCGAGCCGGCCCCUUUAACCCAUUGAACCCUCUGCCCUGAAGCAGCUUCGUAUGGGGACACCCCUGCGAUAGUAACUGAGACAACUCUCAACAACGGAUAUCUUGGCUCUCGCAACGAUGAAGAACGCAGCGAAAUGCGAUACGUAGUGUGAAUUGCAGAAUUCCGUGAGUCAUCUAAUCUUUGAACGCACAUUGCCGGUCGACUCUUCGGAGGAGACCACAUCUGCCUCAGCGUCGGAAUACCCCCUCACGCACUCCCGCGUGGACCUGGCCCCCCCGGACUCCCCGUCCGGGCUGGCUGAAAUGCAGAGGCUCGUGCGCGGCCCAUUCGUGGCCCCGACUAGGUAGGUAGCUCGCUACUGCUAGGCGGAGGCUCGGUGUCGCGUGCUUUGGGCCCCAAAGGAUACCCAUCCAUUCAUUCGACCUGAGUUCAGGUGAGGCUACCCGCUGAACUUAAGCAUAUCAAUAAGCGGAAGGAAA